AGUCCUUAAUCCAUUUUGAGUUAAUUUCUGUGUGUCAUGUAAGACAGUGGUCUAAUUUCAUUCUUUGUAUGUGGCCGUCCAAUUUUCCCAACACCAUUUGUUGACUUUCUUCUUUUUCUUUUGUAAUUGCUCUGCCAAGGACUUUCAAGACUAUGUUGAAUUAAAGUGGAGAGAGUAGGCAUCCUUGUCUUGUUCCCAAUAUUACAGAAAAGCUUUCAGCUCUUCACUGUUGAGAAGGAUUUUGGCUGUGGACUUGUCAUAUUUAGCCUUUAUUAUGUUGAGGUAAUUUCUCCCAUUCCUGCUUCAUUUGAGUUAUCAUAAAUGAUGAUGAAUUUUGUUAAGUACUUUUUCUGCAUCCACUGAAAUGACCAUGAUUUUUACCCUGCAUUUUAUUAAUAUAGUAUAUUACAAUAACUGAUUUGUGGAUAUUGAACCAGGCUUACAGCCCUGAACAAAUCCCAAUUGAGGGGAACAUUGCCUUCUCAGCUGACUGAGUGUGCUUUUUAACCAGACUUCAAUGGGGCAUAAGACCUGAAACUACAACACAUCCUGGUGAUAUUUCUUGUGACUCAGAUGAUCAAGUCCCUUUCUGUAGUCACUAUGUUUCCAACUCUAAAAUCCAGUUCCUGAGUUUAAGUUCUAAAUGUUCCUUUAUUCCUGAAAGUCUGCACUGCCUAAAAGAUGGUAGCUAACUUCUUUCAUGACUUCAAUGGCUUUUCAUUCUUUACUUCUCAUUAGGUAUCUAAAUCUUUCCCAUCUACCUCUAUAAAUACUCAUAGCCAGCGUUUUUAAUCCUUAUGUGUCUUCAGUGUGUUGAAACCUUUCCAGAUUUGGUAGAAUUCCGAAAUGUUUUCUUUCUGAUAGGGUUACACCGCUAUAGACAUUAAAAUUACAUUCUACUGAAUUCUGCAUAUCACAGACUUGUCUAGGAUUCCUAGGUUAUUCUUGUGACUAAGCACUUUACAGGAAGGCCCACACUGAACAGCCCCACCUAAACACAAACUUGUUUUUAGUACUUCACUCUUAAAUAUAGACAAAUAAUCAAAUACCAUUGACCAUUUGAGGCAAGUCUCUAACAAAAAAAGACAGAGGACAACAAACAUCAAAAAGGACUUAAAAGAAAUAAAGAUUAUACAGGAAGAAAAAAAUAGUAUCUUCAAAGAAAUACAAGAAAACAUUUACAUCCAGGUGCAAAAACAGGAUGCUAUUGAUAUUUUUUAAAAAUUAAGACAUCUAGGUGGAGUAGGAAGAUCCUAGGUCACCUUGUCCUACGCAUACAACUAGGUAACAUCAACAUCAGCAUAAAUAACCCAGAAAAUGACCCAAAAACUGACAGAACAGACUCUCUACAGCUAAAUGGAGAGAAGAGGUCACACUGAAGAAGGAAGGAAGGGUGGAGACAUGGUCAGGAGCAAAAUGACCCUUGGGAGUGCUCAUGGAAGGAAGAGAUGCAGCCAGCUGGAGGGAAAACAGAAUCUCACCAAGCACCCAGGCAUGGAGAAACUGCACGGGGAAGACAACUCCCCCUAACAUUUGGCUUUGAAAAUCAGCGGGGUCUAAUUUCACAAGUUCUUACAAUCAGAAGGACUUAAGACCUAGAACUAAUAAAAAUCAGCAGGUUGUACUCUGGGAGACUCUGGAGGGCUUUGGAAACUGAGUCCCUAUCCUUAAAGAGACAGCUUAACAAAUAGCCCCCAAAGAGAGCAGAGAAAGAGCAGUUUGAAAAUGCCUGGGGUAUACAGGGAAGAGAGUUAUUUAUUACUCUCAGAGCAUGUGCUGGAGGGUCAGGAAUCUUUAGGAGACUUCUCCAGGAACAAAAGACCUGGUGGGUGCCAUUUCCCUCUGCCAAACCCUAGCCUAACACAUGGACACCUGCAGGAACCAACACAGUGCCAACACUCUCCACCUAGCCGGCUAACAGUGCCCCUGCCCCCAUAUUCUCUGUGGACAGGCCCCGUCUUGCCAGGCCUCAGCUCCAGGACCCCUCAACCUCCAGGACCUGACAAACCCUGCUAACACUGCACAGACAUCCAGCCCUGGCAUCCUCCUGCAGACCUGCCUCCUCCAAUAUGCCCUUGGCUGGAGCCCAUCCAAAGCAGUGCCACAAGCCUGGCAUUGUGCAAGCAGCCCUGAUAGGGGCCAGCACCAACCAAAGUGACUCCUGCUCCAGAGACAGGGGAAGAUAACCACAUACACAAGUCCAACUGCAGCCCCAGUAGUUAACUGAAGGAAGACAUCUGGUCUGAUUACAGGCCCCAACCACCAAAGAAAGUUUCUCAGGGGACAACAAGGAGAAGGGACCCUGUAGUUCCUGACUACCACAUCUCUGGCAAACACAC
rnacentral:lncRNA from 1 species